rnacentral:rRNA from 1 species
GAUGAACGCUGGCGGCGUGCCUAAUACAUGCAAGUCGAGCGAACGGACGAGAAGCUUGCUUCUCUGAUGUUAGCGGCGGACGGGUGAGUAACACGUGGAUAACCUACCUAUAAGACUGGGAUAACUUCGGGAAACCGGAGCUAAUACCGGAUAAUAUUUUGAACCGCAUGGUUCAAAAGUGAAAGACGGUCUUGCUGUCACUUAUAGAUGGAUCCGCGCUGCAUUAGCUAGUUGGUAAGGUAACGGCUUACCAAGGCAACGAUGCAUAGCCGACCGGAGAGCGUGAUGGGCCCCAGUGGAGGUGACAGGCGGCCCAGGCACUGAGGUGCGGCCCUAGCUGCGACUGGUGCGCAAAGGGCGGAAGACUGCCGGAGGGGCGGAGGCCGGGUGAUGAAGCUCUGCGUGCCGUAAAACUGUGUUAUGGGUGUAGACCACUUGCGUAAGUAACUGAGCGCGACUGACGGUAACCGAUACAGAAGCACCCGCUUACUUCGUG